AGUGGCGGACGGGUGAGUAACACGUAGGUAACCUACCCUUAGGCGGGGGACAACUCAGGGAAACUUGAGCUAAUACCGCAUACAUCCACGGGCUGGGAUGCUUGUGGGGAAAGUGGCGACACACCUAAGGAUGGGCCUGCGGCCUAUCAGGUAGUUGGUGGGGUAAGAGCCCACCAAGCCGAAGACGGGUAGCCGGGCUGAGAGGUUGAACGGCCACACUGGAACUGAGACACGGUCCAGACUCCUACGGGAGGCAGCAGUGGGGAAUCUUGCGCAAUGGGGGAAACCCUGACGCAGCGACGCCGCGUGGAGGGUGUAGGUCUUCGGGUUGUAAACUCCUUUUCUUGGGGAAAAUGAUGAUGGUACUCAAGGAAUAAGCCACGGCUAACUCUGUGCCAGCAGCCGCGGUAAGACAGAGGUGGCGAGCGUUGUUCGGAAUUACUGGGCUUAAAGGGCGAGUAGGCGGUAGGGCAAGUCUGAGGUGGAAUCCUAUGGCUUAACCAUAGAACUGCCUUAGAAACUGCUUUACUUGAGUCAGUGAGGGGAGGGCGGAAUUCCUGGUGUAGUGGUGAAAUGCGUAGAUAUCAGGAGGAAGGCCUGUGGCGAAAGCGGCCCUCUGGCACUGUACUGACGCUGAGGCGCGAAAGCGUGGGGAGCAAACAGGAUUAGAUACCCUGGUAGUCCACGCCCUAAACGGUGG
rnacentral:rRNA from 1 species